rnacentral:rRNA from 1 species
UACGUAGGGACCGAGCGUUGUCCGGAAUCAUUGGGCGUAAAGAGCGUGUAGGCGGCCACUUAAGUCCUGCGUGAAAUCUUGCGGCUCAACCGCAAGCGGUCGUGGGAAACUGGGUGGCUAGAGUGCGGGAGAGGAGAGUGGAAUUCCGGGUGUAGCGGUGGAAUGCGUAGAGAUCCGGAAGAACACCGGUGGCGAAGGCGGUCUGCUGGGCAGUGCUGACGCUGAUGCGCGACAGCGUGGGGAGCAAACAGG